ensembl:lncRNA
CCUAUCAGGCCAUUAUAGUAGUUAACUAAUAAACACAGUGACAGUACAGAUCCCCUAUCAGGCCAUUAUAGUAGUUAACUAAUAAACACAGUGACAGUACAGAUCCCCUAUCAGGCCAUUAUAGUAGUUAACUAAUAACCACAGUAACAUUAUAGAUCCCCAUAUCAGGCCAUUAUAGUAGUUAACUAAUAAACACAGUGACAGUACAGAUCCCCUAUCAGGCCAUUAUAGUAGUUAACUAAUAACCACAGUGACAUUAUAGAUCCCUAUAUCAGGCCAUUAUAGUAGUUAACUAAUAAACACAGUGACAUUAUAGAUCCCCAUAUCAGGCCAUUAUAGUAGUUAACUAAUAAGCACAGUGACAUUAUAGAUCCCCAUAUCAGGUCAUAACUAAUAACCACAGUAACAUUAUAGAUCCCCAUAUCAGGCCAUUAUAGUAGUUAACUAAUAAGCACAGUGACAUUAUAGAUCCCCAUAUCAGGUCAUAACUAAUAACCACAGUAACAUUAUAGAUCCCCAUAUCAGGCCAUUAUAGUAGUUAACUAAUAACCACAGUGACAUUAUAGAUCCCCAUAUCAGGCCAUUAUAGUAGUUAACUAAUAAGCACAGUGACAUUAUAGAUCCCCAUAUCAGGUCAUUAUAGUAGUUAACUAAUAAACACAGUGACAUUAUAGAUCCCCAUAUCAGGCCAUUAUAGUAGUUAACUAAUAAACACAGUGACAUUAUAGAUCCCCUAUCAGGCCAUUAUAGUAGUUAACUAAUAAACACAGUGACAUUAUAGAUCCCCAUAUCAGGCCAUUAUAGUAGUUAACUAAUAAACACAGUGACAUUAUAGAUCCCCAUAUCAGGCCAUUAUAGUAGUUAACUAAUAAACACAGUGACAUUAUAGAUCCCCAUAUCAGGCCAUUAUAGUAGUUAACUAAUAAACACAGUGACAUUAUAGAUCCCCUAUCAGGCCAUUAUAGUAGUUAACUAAUAAACACAGUGACAUUAUAGAUCCCCUAUCAGGCCAUUAUAGUAGUUAACUAAUAAACACAGUGACAUUAUAGAUCCCCAUAUCAGGCCAUUAUAGUAGUUAACUAAUAAACACAGUGACAUUAUAGAUCCCAUAUCAGGCCAUUAUAGUAGUUAACUAAUAAACACAGUGACAUUAUA